GUGCCAUCCAGCGCGCGGUAAUACGUAGGGGGCGAGCGUUGUCCGGAAUCACUGGGUGUAAAGGGUCCGCAAGCGGGCUGACAAGUCACAGGUGAAAUCCCUCCGCUUAACGGAGGAACCGCCUUUGAAACUGUCAGUCUUGAGUCCGGGAGAGGAUGGCGGAAUUCCUGGUGUAGCGGUGAAAUGCGUAGAUAUCAGGAAGAACACCGGUAGUGAAGACGGCCAUCUGGACCGGUACUGACGCCCAGGGACGAAAGCGUGGGGAGCAAACAGGAUUAAAUACCCUGGUAGUCCACGCCCUAAACGAUGGGUACUAGAUGUCGGGCUUAAGCUCGGUGUCGAAGCUAACGCAUUAAGUACCUCACCUGGGGAGUACGAUCGCAAGGUUGAAACUCAAAGAAAUUGACAGG
rnacentral:rRNA from 1 species